UGGGGAAUAUUGGACAAUGGGCGAAAGCCUGAUCCAGCCAUGCCGCGUGUGUGAAGAAGGCCUUAUGGUUGUAAAGCACUUUAAGCGAGGAGGAGGGUACUGGUAUUAAUACUACCAGGUACUGGACGUUACUCGCAGAAUAAGCACCGGCUAACUCUGUGCCUGCAGCCGCGGUAAUACAGAGGGUGCGAGCGUUAAUCGGAUUUACUGGGCGUAAAGCGUGCGUAGGCGGCUAAUUGAGUCGGAUGUGAAAUCCCCGAGCUUAACUUGGGAAUUGCAUUCGAUACUGGUUAGCUAGAGUGUGGGAGAGGAUGGUAGAAUUCCAGGUGUAGCGGUGAAAUGCGUAGAGAUCUGGAGGAAUACCGAUGGCGAAGGCAGCCAUCUGGCCUAACACUGACGCUGAGGUACGAAAGCAUGGGGAGCAAACAGG
rnacentral:rRNA from 1 species